AAUCGCGGAUCAGAAUGCCGCGGUGAAUACGUUCCCGGGUCUUGUACACACCGCCCGUCACACCAUGGGAGUUGGAAAUGCCCGAAGUCAGUGGCCCAACCGGAAGGGGGAGCUGCCGAAGGCAGGUUCGAUGACUGGGGUGAAGUCGUAACAAGGUAUC
rnacentral:rRNA from 1 species